rnacentral:lncRNA from 1 species
AAAUUAGUUGAUAAUGCCUUCCAGGAGACCUAGGGCCAUCCUAUUGAUAUGAACCAGAUCAUACCUGCCCUGAUGGGAUGCCAGAGAAAGACUGCUGCAAGGGCUCCUCUGGGAACAGAACAGAGGGAAGAAGAUAACUUCCCUGAAGCCCAGAUGUUCCAGAAGCCUGCACGUCAUUCACAAAGUCACCCCAAAAAUGCUCUAGAGUUUGAAGUUUUGAAGAAGCAGGAAGAAGGCCUGAGUAAGGGCCUGGGAACCAAGUUAGAUCCUGCUUUAGCAUCAGCACGUGCCAGCGAUGGUGCACACAGGUGGAGAGCGGCCUGCCCAUCUUUUCCAUGGUGCCCACAGACCCAUUUAGGAUGAAAGAUCAGAAAAUUCUCUCCAUGUCACCGCUUCUGAAACAUGUGAAUAUUAAUAUUUGGUGC